rnacentral:lncRNA from 10 species
AAUGGAGUGUGUCUAUGGAAUUAUAUGGCUUCUCUGAAAGGUAAAGCACUUGUAGUGCCUUUUAAAAUGAAAAUGCAGCAUGCGGAGGCUUGCAUUGUGAAUUUUAUCUCCAGAUCAACUGCAAGAACAAACCAGCAAUCCUGAGAGGAACCACAGACCCUCUGAAAGAAGUGGACUGCUUCUGCAGGACCUGGGAGACACCCCAAAUACUCUAAGGAGGAGAGAGGCACAAGGUAUAUCUGCAGAAGUAACCAUGGAUUUAAAAGUAGCUACAGCAUCAAUUUAAAGGUUCAAUGAAGAAUGUACAGCCAUGUAGAACUACAAUUGGGGGAAACAGGAAUAAUCUAAUGGAAAUAGACCGAGUCGCGAUACCUAUCAAGCCCCGUCAGCUCAGCUUCUUCUUGGCCUCUCUGUGCAGCAUUUCUUUCUCCCAGGGCUUACCAUAGGAGGCCCUGCCGAAGCUGGCACGCUGCAUGGGAGCUAUCCUUAAAUGCCACUCAGAACACUCUCACAGCCUGCAGCCUUCAGAAGGAGAGUGUCGCAUGGUCUAGCUGCUGAGUGACCGCUGAUCAACAGCUGGCUUCACCUUGCAUCCUGACUCCUGGGAGAUCUUCCUCUCCCAUCUCUCUUCCCUUCUUUCUCUGUAGGCGCAGCUGUCAGGAUCAACUGAACCCCUGGGGAUGGCUGUCUUUAGAGAGGAGCUAUGUGGCCUUGAGAAAAGCUGGGUAGAUGGACGGCCUGUCCUUGGAAAUGGGCUCUCUGCAAGGACAAAGCCUAGGAGACUGUUCCUCAGGGUGCAGAGCACAGGCUUGCCUGUUUAUUUAGGUGUGAACUUGGAGUCAGGACAGGAGUUUAAUGAACAGGAGAAGGAAUUUUGUUGAGUUUGUGGCCUUAUGCUGAUUCUUUUUGGGAUGUUGAGUAGCAUGAAUAGAGAAAUCUUUGAUGAGAAGAAAAAAAAACAGUUUUAGUGAAGUAAAUAAAUGCGGGUUCAUUUUCAUUUGUAAAUAUAUUUCUUCUAUUUGUUGUUACUCCAUUUGUAAGAUGCACACGUAUAACCAUAGAUUCAGAGUUUUUUUGUCUAUCCAUUGAUGGCAAUCUGUGUUACUUUCUGUCAAGGAGGCACAGCAACUUGGUGUCAGUGUGGUGAGGCUCUGGCUGCCACAGACAGUAUAGGUAGUGGCCUUCUGUUAGUUGAUAAUUAAUUACUAAAUUGGCAGCAUGUGCCCCUCAUUCUGUGAUACACACACACACACACACACACACACACACACACACACGGUACCCCUUAUGUCUGCUUAACUUCCAAGAGUCUUUUGGACAUAUAAAAUUUGCCUGCGUCAAAAGUUUAAAAUAUGCAUUGGUUCUGUGCCUAUUAAAAGCAAAGUUUAAAAUAAAGCCCAAAUAAUGGAUGAAAUCCAUUCAGGCAGCUUGGUGGUUUAAAGCAAGACUGAACUUUCUACUUUUUGAAAAGUGUAUUUCCAGGAAUAAAGCUGAGUGGGCAAAGCAAGACCUAAUUUUCCUUAUUGAAUAGGAAAUAAAUUGACACAUAUUGAAUGCUGUCUCGAAGGUGCUUAUACUGGUUGGGAAAAGAUGGCCUUGAGACCCAGGCUAUUCAUGUUAAGAUUGAAGAUGAGGUGAAAAUGCUAAUUAAAUAAUGCCAUGGCAAAGUUGGCUGAAAAUGAGUAAGCAGGACUUUGUGAACCCUUCAUAUUCCUAAUAAAACAUCUCUUCCUUACUUGAACAUCUCUUCCUCUCUCUUUUGAACUUCAGCAGGCUAUAAAGGACAAUGCCCUUCGUUUGUGAUUAUGU